CCGGCAUGCUUUGCGGCGCGGACGGCCCUGGAGCCGGCUCAGGGGGCACCCGGGGGGCCGGGAGGAUCCGCUGGCAUCGUGCCCCAGGGCAGGGGGCCCCGGCUCGGGAGGGCCCGGCCCGGCAGCGGGGAGCCUGGGGACUGGUGCGGGAGCGGCCGGCCUGAGCGAGAGCAGCGGGGAUGGCUGAUGUCCCUGCAGGGUGCCCUCGGCAUGGAGUCCCCAUGACAACGAGAUGUGGCUUUCCAGGGACACCAAUUCCUAGCUCCAAAUCUGCAAGGUCCCAGCCUGCCUUGCAAGGUGGGGGGGCAGGGAUCACUCACCCUGCUGCUGAAAUGCAGCCACCUCUGGGGUGGGACGCACUGGAGAGGACGUUGCCGCAAACCCUGCUGCGUGGAUGCUGAACUCCCAGGAAGCAGACAGGGCGGUAGGAAUGUGAGAGCAGCAGUUGUCACCGGUUCACAGCAGCGAACAGUUUUGUCUGGCUCUCGGGACCCGGCUGGCACGAGCCGAGGGAGACCCAACGGAUUCUGCCACCAGCAGCCAGAGCCAGCCAGGAAGACGGGAACGAAUGGGGGGGAGAAGGAGGUGCAAUAAAAGCCCUGACCAGUGGGUGGUGCCCUCGCUCUGUACACAGCCCAGCCAAGAUAAUGGAGCCGGGGGUGGAUACUAACCACCAGCCACUGCCCUUGCUGCAGGCCUUAAACAGCCUGAAGAGGGGAAAUUGCAAUACAAGCACUGGCCACUGGGGGGCACCCGUGGUGUGCAGUGUUGAGCUGGGAAUUCAGUGCUAGGAGAGAUGGGGAAACUGAGGCACACAGUGACCUUGUCCAAGGUCAUACCGGGAGUCUGCGGUGGAGCUGGGAAUUGAGGCCAGAUCUCCCGAGUCAAAGCCCAGUGAAAGCUUAGUGCAUCCACGCCGUGCAGUACGAAUGAAAUACUUUCUAUUCCAGGAGUAACCAGGGAGGACUUAAACAGCAGCUGCUACAGCUAAACACUUUCAGAUCUGCAGGACCUGGAAAGCUUGUACCCGAGUGAUGUAAAAGAAUUGGCUGAGGAGCUCAUUGAGCCAUUAAUGUUGGUAUUCAGAGUUUUUUAAACACCGGGAAAGUCCCAGGGGACUGGGCAAAACACGACCAUUGUGCCAGUAUUUUAAAAUGAGAAAUGAGAUGACUUAGGUAACUAGAGGCCAGGGGUCAGUCAGCACCCUGGCAGGCCGGGCCAGUUUGUUUAUCUGCCGCGUUGGCAGGUUCGGCCGAUCACGGCUCCCACUGGCCGCGGUUCACCCUUCCAGGCCAAUGGGGGAGGCGGGAAGUGCCGCAGCCCGAGGGAUGUGCUGGGAGCCGCGAUCGGCCGCCCCCUGCUAUAGACUGUUUAGCCUGACAUCAGUCCUGGACACAGUCACCGCAGUAUUCCCCGUUUUGUAGUUGUGCACUUGAGUUUUCCUUCCUGAAGGGUUAAAAUCCAUGUGCAUUAUAUACCAACCUGGUAUAUGGAUUGUGCCAGCUCUUUUUUUAGACCCAAAGUCCAGAGUUUGGUCAACAGACCAGAGGCCCAGCAAAUAGUGAUUAGCUAAGGGAAAGCCGGGUAAACAAGAUAACUGCCUUUGCUAAGACAUGCGUGGUCAGUAGAAAUGCCAGAUGUUGAAGCAAUAACUGAAUAAUUAUGUUUCAUCCAAUGUUUCAAAUUGAACAAAGGAUCCCUGUUCCUAUUGUGUCAGUCUCUUCUGAAGGGAAGGUUCUUCCCACAGAUCCAACCUUGAGUAUAUGAAAAGUUGGCACAUGUCAGUAUAAGAUAUGGCCUCCUUCCACCUCCCUUCCCAGGGACCAGUGCCUGCCUUAAGACAUGAAGGGGACAAUCUUUAUUGCCAUAUACUUUCACUGUUUCUUUGCUUUAACCCCAAGGAAUGUACCUGGUGGACAAUCAGAGGAGUUGCUCCAUUCCUAUGGACCCCAAAUCAGAAUUCAACAUAGAUAUUUUAUACUAAUAACAUUUUAUCAAAGUAUUAAUUAAAUGUUAAUUUGCUAACUGGAUACCAUCGGCAGAGACAUUAUGUAACCUGUUAACCACUGGCUAAUGUGCUAUCUUGUCUUGCUGCAAAACCUAUCCGGGGGUGUGGAACUGCCCACCCCGUCACUUUCCCCCACCCACGGAAAAU